AUGGACUAUGGCGGUGGCGAUGCUGUGGCGGAGGAUCAGUCGCGACGAGGUGGAGGAAGAGCAGGAGAAGAUCUGCUGCCGCGGCCGAGGGCAGAGGAGGAGGAGGAGGAGGAGGACAGCGAUGACGAGAGACCUAUACGUUUCGUUCGUCGUCGAGGCUCCACCGCCGGACCGCCGUCGCAGGCACCGGCAACGGUGGCGACGGCACCAGAACCGUCACCGUCGUCAUCGUGCUCGAACAAUAGCUCCUCGGUGAUCUGGGACGCUACGGUGGAGGACCACAGCGCCCUUGAUUGUAGCAUCUUCUACCUCCCGCUCAAGCCUCCAAUCUUCCAGUGCCACGUCGGGCACGUGGUGUGCUGCCGGUGCAACGACAAGCUGAGGCCGGCGACCCAGUGCCACAAGUGCCGCGCCCCGACGCCGGGCGGCUACCGCCGGAGCUACGACAUGGAGACCCUGCUGGGCGCCAUCCGAGUCCCGUGCCCGAACGCCGCCCGCGGCUGCGCGCACCGGCCGGCGUACCACGAUCGCGACGCCCACGCCCUGGCGUGCCCGCACGCCGCGCCGUGCCGCUGCCCCGGCGAGGCCUGCGGCUUCGCCGGCCCGGCGGCGGCGCUCGCCGACCACGUCGCCGCCGAACACGGCUGGCCCUGCACCGCCGUGGACGCGGACGGGCCCGGCACCUCCCUCAUCCUCCGCGACGGCUUCAACUUCCUCACCGUCACCGCCUCCCGAGCUGCUGCUGCUGCUACCUCCCCCAGCCAUGGCGCCGCCACGAGCAAGUUCCUGUUCCUGCUGAACGUGGUGCCGGCGCGGCUGUUCGGCCGCGUCAUCACGGAGGAGCUGGAGCUAGAACAAGAGGAGGAAGAGGAUGAGGAGGAGCAAAGUGAAAGCGAAAGCGAACAUGAGUACUCUGAUGGAUCUGAUGGUGGUGAUAUUGCAGAGGAUCAGCACAAUGAGCAGCAAUCACAGCAAGAUGGGGUAGGAGAAGAUCACCCGCCGCAGCCACAGGUGGUGGUGGUGGUUGAUAAUAAUGACGAUGAAUGCACUGUCAUUCAAGGCUCCACUACACCUCCAGUGCCUCCGCCGUCAUCAUCGUCCUGCUUAGAAAGCUCAGUGGUCAGGGAUGUGACGGCGGACUCCAGUGCCCUUGAUUGUGGCAUCUGCUUCCUACCGCUCAAGCCUCCCAUCUUCCAGUGCAACGUCGGCCAUGUGGUGUGCUCUCCAUGCCAUGACAAGCUGGGUGUGCCGAGCAGCUGCCACGUUUGUUCUGCCCGGACCCCAGGUGGCUACCACAGGUGCCACGCCAUGGAGCAGCUGGUGGACUCCAUCCGUGUUCCGUGCCCGCACGCUGGCCAUGGCUGCACUGACAGGCCGGGUGUAUCACAACCGUGAAGGCCACGCCCAGGUGUGCCCCCACAUGCCGUGCCGCUGCCCUGGCCAGGCCUGCGGCUUUGUUGGCUCCAUGGCGGCGCUACUGCGCCAUUUCGCUGCCGUGCACAGAUGGCCCUGCACAACCGAGGAUGAGGCUGCUGUUGGCUUCGACAUUGAACUCCGUGACGGUUUCAAUUUUAUCACCGCCGUCCGUGCUGCUACAGACCAAGUCACCAUGAAUCAGCACCUGUUCCUGCUGAACAUGGAGCGGGCGCCGUUCGGCCGCACCAUCACUGCGUUCUGCAUACACCCUUUCCAUACCUCCACUGCCAUGCUCAAGCUUACCUAUGAGUGCUACAGGAGCUUUGACACGUGCAGCACGCAUCACCAGUCAUCGGAAUUCAAGGUGGCCUGCACAGAUCUCUCCAAUGGGCUACCCGAUCCCAGUGAGUGCUUCCUGUUCAUCGUGCCGAGAUCUGCCUGCAGAGAUGACGAGGAGUUUACCAAGGUCAAUGUUGUUAUCACUCAAGCACCCAGCCAGUAGACCAUCAGCAUAUUUAGUCAUGUGAAGUAUUUAUUACAAUGUGCUAAUUUCUUAUAGUUAAGUUUGACUCUUGUAACUCUCCGUCUGUGGACGAAUUAUAAUGCAUUGUUGGAAACUGGUUGGUAUACUAAUAAA